UUAAUGAGCUUGAAUAAGCUUUUGUCUUGAAAACAAACCAUAGAUUUAUUAAUAUAUCUAUUAACUUAA
rnacentral:tRNA from 1 species